GCGACCCCAGUAGGCGGGGCAA
rnacentral:rRNA from 1 species